AAAAAAACAAGCCCUAGGUUUUUUUGUCUAACGUUUGACUAUCCAUCUUAUAUGAAUUUUUUUAUAAUCAGUAUUUUUAUAGUUGUUAAAUGAUAAAACAUGAUUAAUACUUUAUGCGCGACUUAUCUUUUUAAUUUUUUUCAUAAUUUUUUUCAAAUAAGACGGACGGUCAAACGUUGGACACGGAAACCUAUG
rnacentral:pre_miRNA from 1 species